UUUUCUCUUCCGUUUUUUGUACAGGGAUGGAAGUUCAUCCUUCAUACGGCCUUGCCAAUCCAUGUGGGACGGGUUUAGCUCCAUGGUCAGAACAUUUCUCUUGCCAGGCAAGUUGACUAGGAAAUGAUAAACUCCAACAUUUGCUGUGCCUUUUUCCCAGCAUACAGUUAGCCAAACUCCCUCGAUUUGUAGGUCGUAUACUAAAACCAUGUCUUCCCCCUCCAUUGAGCCAGAAUCAAGGGAAAACCUGAAAUUAUGUAUUUGCUCGAAGUAGCUAAGAAGGAACAAGUGCUAAUCCAGUUUCUCAAAAGCCUGAAAUUUCUUGGUUAAACAAUUCAACUUGAGACUUUGAUUUUUCAGUUAUUAAUAUAGAAUAGGAAGACUGUAUGUUGACAGCAAAAAUCAUACCACUAUGAAGUAAUCUGGGAAUUCUGCAAAUCGUGUCAACCCAACAAAAGGUAACGUCUACUUAGAGUGUAUGUAGAUUUACCAAUCGUAGGAAGUGUCUUAAAACGAAUUUAAAAUGUCAUGCUGGGGUGAAUCUAAAGAUGUCAUACUGGAGCAAGAGAAACUAGGCUGAUAUUUGCCGCAAACGAAGAAGAAAAAAGGGUGCGCUGGGAGAGAGAGAGAGCUUGUACGUGUGCUGAAAGAAAGAGAGCGUUUACCAACAUUUGAUUUUGUUCAAAUGCUCGGGCUGUAUCAGCAAGUCUAGUGAUAUACCUUUCACUCUCUCUUUAUUUUUUUUCCCCCUUGAGGGUUGCUUUUCUCAUGUUCAGAACCCUCCCAGUGCAACAGAUGAAUUUUGAACGAGGGUUAAACUUUAGCAAGGAGCAGGGAUAUGCUCAACGAUACGAACAUUGGAAACAGUAAACCAAAUUAGGCCAAAUCCCAACUCAGUUAGGAUGGGCAACGCAAAAGCAUAGCCCGCAGAAAUUUAUUGAAUCUGCACCAUGU
rnacentral:lncRNA from 1 species